UACAGCGCUAUCACCAUCUCUUAUCAUAGGACUAGAAUGGGCUCCUUCAUACAAGGGCAUCAGACAACCCAAUAACACUCACCUAGGGGCCACUAACCUGCCACCUGGAUAACAAGGUCAUGGCCAAUAUCAUAGUGGACAAUGAAGUUCCCUAGAGAGAGGAGUAAUGCAUUGUUUCUUACCAAUAGAAAAAGAAUGGGAGCAAUGAGGAUGUGGCCCCUAGCAGCCAUCUUGCCUGCCACUAAGUGAAUGGGAGAUAAGAUGGAAACACGUCGGCAUAGCACUUCUUAACAGAUCUAUAUCCACGUAUGUUCCCUGGUUCUUCAUACAGCCGACAAAUGAUCUCUUCACAGGAAGCCACUGUGUUUCCAAGGCAUCUGAAACAGAACGAGAGCUUGUAAACACUCUACAACUGCACAUAAUAACUCAUAUACGUUAUAGAUGUCCAAGCUAAAAUCUCUUCUAAAUAAUGAAACGUUCUUGUAAGUGUUUACAUUUCCUGAAUGACGGCUGAUUUUGCAGAGUGAUAAGCCAGAAGCUGACAUUUAGGAUUACAUGGCAGCCAUUCUGAAGAAAAGACGUCCAUGUAAUGUGUGAGCUGAGUUGACCAGACCAUAGCCACGUCUUGUUAGUGGAUCUUCUCUCUUGCCUAUAUAGGGCGAUCUGUAUGUCAGGGACACACCUUUCGUGGCCUAAUAGCAUUGUGAAUUGGGAAACAAAAUCUGUUGUUGAUCGCUCUUUUUGGACUUUAUUGCUCAAUGUGACCUCAUUCAAGCUAAGAGACUUUUACUUUGCACAUGUUUCCUGGCUUGAAAAGUGCAAAGGUGACACCUUUUGGUUCACUGAAAAAUAUUAUUCUCCUGUUUGAAGAGAUCAACAACAUAACAAAAAUGGGGCCCUAUGCCCUCCAAAAUGAAAAUGACAAUAAACACAAAACAUGCAUAGCUUUCUUUUCUAUCCUGGUCUCCAAUAAAUUUGUCUCUUCCUAAAAAGAAACUCACAGCUAUUUCACCGGCACUAAACUCAAUAUACUGCGUUAUACUAAGGGUAAAAAGCUGUAAAAAGAAGGGUUAAUUACAUAUAUAGGCACCAUAUUUGACUAGUGGCCAUUUCUAAAUCCGCUGGCAUUGUGCACCUCUGCUAAAUGGAGGCAGAGAGCUGACGCAGCUCCCCUGCCUCAUCAAUAUUCCGAAAUUCACUACCCAACCCGCCCCCUUUUCAUGAUGUGAGAGCCUGAAGGGGGGGGGGGAGAGGAGUGGAGGUCUGGUGUAUCAAAGAGCAAAGCACUCACCCCCCCCCCCCCCACCCCACGAGGCUCUCAUGUCUCGGAAGGGGGUGGGCUAGGGAGUGAAUAUUGAUGAGGCAGGGAGCUGGGCGGGCUGGCUCCCCACCUCCAUUGUGCAGAUCUGCUCAAUGCCAGCAGAUUUAGAAAUGGGUACAAGUCAGGAAAUACGGCACAUAUACAUUAAUAAGGUCACAGCACUCACCAUAUAUAUUUAGGAACAAGAAGCUGAGACAGCAGAGGAAGGCUACUGCCGAAAUGCUUCAUGUUUGAUUUUCCUAAAUAUACUUGGUGAGUGCUGGGACUUUAUUUACACUAUUUCUGGACCUGAUCCACUACGUGCACCACUGCCAAUGGAAGUGCAGACCAACUUAUAUAAUAAUAUUAAAACACAGUGAUGUCGCAGUUUCUGCAUAUUGCAUGCAGUGAUGCAACAUUCUGAUGUGACAUCAUAAAUAUAAUGCACACAGUGAUGUCAGAUUUUAUGUACACACAAUAAAAACUAUAGCUCAUAAACCAUAAAACAGUGAAGUCACCAUAGCGGCAUAAUUGAUAUUGUGAUGUCACAUACAAGAUCAUUUACAGAGUGAAGUGGUAGUGCACAGUGAAGUCACAAUACAGGCAUAAUACAUUAUAUGAAUUAUACACAGUGAUUUCUCAGCAUAAUUUCCUUUGUUUUGGUCUCCUACUGAUGCGUAUUCUAUUUUUCUUGCUUCUCCCACAUUAGCAUACACUUUAAACGGUAACUUUAUUGUGGUCCCUGCUUUUAUUUAUGUUCCAUAUACUGAAUAAUAAUUAAUAUUUGUGUCACUAAUAUUAUGACAUUUAUUCUGUGGUAAGGCCAAUUUUUUAAGAAGCCUUCUACAGAAGAGAAAAACGCUUUGCAGCCAUAUGCCGCUGUUACGCUUAGUAUUUCGGUUAGUAUUUGUGGCCAAAACCAGGAGUGGGGCCAAAACACAGAAAAAGGUGCACAUCUUUAUUAUUAUUAUUAUUAUUAAUAAUAAUUAUAAGAAAAAGAACAACAACAAUAAUGACAAUUCUGUAUUAUUUCCUAAAUAAAAAUAUCUAUAAUAAAUCUUAAAUCAUUAUAGUUUUUCUCUGUGUCACUUCCACUUCUGGUUUUCUCUACAACUACUAAUGAAAAAUACUGACCAAUAUACACUGCUCAAAAAAAUAAAGGGAACACGAAGAUAACCCAUCCUAGAUCUGGAUGAACUAAUCGCAUGAAAUACUUUGAUCUUUACAUAGUUGAAUGAGCUGACAACAAAAUCACACAAAAAAUAUCAAUGGAAAUCAAAUUUAUUAACCCAUAGAGGUCUGGAUAUGGAGUCACACUCAAAAUCAAAGUGGAAAACCACACUACAGGCUGAUCCAACUUUGAUGUAAUGUCCUUAAAACAAGUCAAAAUGAGGCUCAGUAGUGUGUGUGGCCUCCACGUGCCCGUAUGACCUCCCUACAAUACCUGGGCAUGCUCCUGAUGAGGUGUUGGAUGGACUCCUAAGGGAUAUCCUCCCAGACCUGGACUAAAGCAUCUGCCAACUCCUGGACAGUCUGUGAUGCAACGUGGCGUUGGUGGAUGGAGCGAGACAUGAUGUCCCAGAUUUGCUCAAUCGGAUUUAGGUCUGGGGAAUGGGCGGGCCAGUCCAUAGCAUUAAUGCCUUCCUCUUGCAGGAACUUCUGACACCAGCCACAUGAGGUCUAGCAUUGUCUUGUAUUAGGAGUAACCCAGGGCCAACCGAACAAGCAUAUGGUCUCACAAGGGGUCUGAGGAUCUCAUCUUGGUACCUAAUGGCAGUCAGGCGAACUCUGGCAAGCAUAUGGAGGGCUGUGCGGCCCCCCAAAGAAAUGCCACACACACCAUUACUGACCCCCCACCAAACCGGUCAUGCUGGAGGAUGUUGCAGGCAGCAGAACAUUCUCCACAGCGUCUCCAGACAUCUAUCACAUGUGCUCAGUGUGAACCUGCUUUCAUCUGUGAAGAGCACAGGGUGCCAGUGGCGAAUUUGCCAAUCUUGGUGUUCUCUGGCAAAUGCCAAACAUCCUGCAUGGUGUUGGGCUGUAAGCACAACCCCCACCUGUGGAUGUCAGGCCCUCAUACCACCCUCAUGGAGUCUGUUUCUGACCGUUUGAGUGGACACAUGCACAUUUGUGGCCUGCUGGAGGUCAUUUUGCAGGGCUCUGGCAGUGCUCCUCCUUGCACAAAGGCGGAGGUAGUGGUCCUGCUGCUGGGUUGUUUCCCUCCUAUGGCCCCCUCCAUGUCUCCUGAUUUCCUGGCCUGUCCCUGGUAGCGCCUCCAUGCUCUGGACACUACACUGACAGACACAGCAAACCUUCUUGCCACAGCUCGCAUUAAUGUGCCAUCCUGGAUGAGCUGCACUACCUGAGCCACUUGUGUGGGUUAUAGACUCUGUCUCAUGCUACCACUAGAGUGAAAGCACCGCCAGCAUUCCAAAGUGACCAAAACAUCAGCCAGGAAGCAUAGGAGCUGAGAAGUGGUCUGUGGUCACCACAGGCACCUUCACUCCUUUAUUGGCUUUAUCUUGCUAAUUGCCCAUCAUUUACACUUGUUGUCUGUUCCAUUUGCACAACAGCUGUGAAAUUGAUUGUCAAUCAGUGUUGCUUCCUGAGUGGACAGUGUGAUUUCACAGAAGUGUGAUUGACUUGGGGUUACAUAGUUUUUUUUUUAAGGGUUCCCUUUAUUUUUUUGAGCAGUGUAUAAUGUGAAAAAGAAGCCUACGGGUAGGGUCGCACACAGUGCAUCCGCAGUGUAUUUCAUGCUGCAGAUGCACCGACAGCUGGCAGUCACAGAGAGACUGCAGAGCGAGCUCCAAGCUGCGGCUCGGCCUGUGACUGCCGGCAGCGGGCGCAUACGCAGCGUGAAAUACACUGCGGGUGAGCUGUGUGAGACCCUACCAUUAUACUUUAAAUACUAUUUAGGAGAAUAAUGUCAAC